rnacentral:rRNA from 1 species
AUUGAACGCUGGCGGCAGGCCUAACACAUGCAAGUCGAACGAGUGGCGGACGGGUGAGUAAUGUCUGGGAAACUGCCUGAUGGAGGGGGAUAACUACUGGAAACGGUAGCUAAUACCGCAUACCAUCAGAUGUGCCCAGAUGGGAUUGGCUAGUUGGUGGGGUAACGGCUCACCAAGGCGACGAUCCCUAGCUGGUCUGAGAGGAUGCCCGGCCACACGGGAACUGCGAACCGGUCCAGACUCCUACGGGAGGCAGAGGUGGGGAAUAUUGCACAAUGGGCGCAAGCCUGAGGCAGCCAUGCCGGGUGUAUGAAGAAGGCCUUCGGGUUGUAAAGUACUUUCAGCGGGGAGGCGUUACCCUCAGAAGAAGCACCGGCUAACUCCGUGCCAGCAGCCGCGGUAUAC